GUUACCUCGACAAGAGACCUUAAAUCACGAUACUCUUGUGUACGUACCUCGAUCUUUUCAUUGUUGUAGUCCUCUUGACAAGUUUUAAGAUCUCUUUUGUUAAGCUUAACAUGCUAUUUCAUGUUUGAGGCUUAGAUUUUUUUUGCUUCAUUCUUUUGUAGGUGACUAGACCACAUUAUUGCCCCCGUUUAAACAUGAAAGUGCAAUUCUCGUUGUUGGAUGAUGACCAAAAGAAUGGACUGUCAUGGUUUGUACCUGUAUGUUUGUUCCUUUAGGCUUAAUCUUAGUCCCAAAUGAAACCUUCAUAAAAUUUAAUGUCUAAUUCAAUAGAACAAAAUUUAGAAACUUAUAGACCAAUGCCUAUGAAUAUGUAAAAAUAGAGAUGAGGCAGUAUGUUCAUGAUAGAACAUUAUGUAUAAACUUAUAGAGUGGUCCCAAAAAGGCACUGCUACUCUUCAAAAUAAUUGAGUAGAAUGAAAGAAAUAAUUAGCUGGAUAAAUUA